CUUUACACAAAUGCAUUCCUUAAUUCUUGUGACAGCUGAGGUAUGCGUGUUGAUGGGGUAGUACUGAAUAAGUACCUCGAGACCCAUCUGGCUGGUCUUAGUUGAUGGUAAGCUUAAUACGUAGUGAUCCUGUAUUUUAGUACAGGUUAGAAUACUGUAAGCAAUGCUUGGAAUCGUGUUGCCCUGUGACGGUUAAUUCUCAGGAUCAUAGGAAACCAUAAAAGACAAGUAUAAUGGCGGUUUGAGAAUGGUG